rnacentral:tRNA from 1 species
GGGGAUGUAGCUCAGUGGUACAGCACUUGCUUAACAUGCAUGAGGCCCCUGACUCAUCCCUA